AGUAUUUUGUUCCUCAUAAACGAGCCCAAAGGCUCAUCCUCUUUCUGUGCUUCCUGUCGUGCUCCAGGCCUGUCUUGUUCCCAGCACUGAACACUGCUGCUAGCUGCCAACAAGGAGCUUGAAAAUUUGUUUUUUCUCCUUUUCAGACACCACAAUCAAAACUGAGCGAAUGGACUGAAUUCUGCAGCGUGUACCUGACCAGCAUGUUCCCCAGGCGUCGGCACUAGGAUUGAUCACAACUUUGCCUGCAUCGUCUUCUGCCAUUCAGCUCUUCCUUCAGCCCCUGGGAGCAAGUCCCAUGAGAGGCGGGGGAUUGCACUGUACAGUGUUUGCCAUUCUGCACCCUGGAACGGACAGCGAUACGUGUAUUCCAGCUUGGUCUGAGUCAUGAAGAUGCAGUGAUGCCUUUGAUACCAGGAUGCCGUAAUACACACUCGACCAUUGGUGCAGCAACUGCAACUUGCUUCAGGUUCUAAUCAGCAAGAAUCUGUAAGGAUGGAGGUGUCACCAGCAAGAUGGAUUCACUGAUGAUGUUAUGGGAUGGACGAUAUAAUGUAUCUCUGUCUACAAUCACUUGCCAGUUUCAGAAACCUCUUCCCUUGUGUACAGCCCAGGCGUUACUCCGGGCAGGUGAAUUGGCACCAGAGAAGCAGGACCGGGUGGGGGAAGUCAGCACGAAAUAGGAGACUGAGAAGCCGCGCUCCAUUUCAAUGACCCAGAGACCUGGAGAAGUUGCCACAUUCUUGCAUGAGCAGAUGCUAAAAUCAGGAACGCCUGGGCGAUGCCAUCUGCUCAUGAAGCCUUUGUGCAGUUCCACUGAGAGAUUUGUUCCAUCACCUAUUUGUUUUUGUUUGACACCGCUGGGUCAAGAAGAUGCUCCACCUUCCCUGCACAUGGAGAGUAACCCCAGAGCAGCAAUCCAAACAAACCAUGGACUUAGCGCUCUUCGCCUGUUCCCCUUAUGUCUGGUGUCCUACUGGGCCCACUGUCUUUCCAAUGGUUUUCCUGCUUCUGAGACACUGACUAUGAUCCGCUUUGACUGUUAGCACUUUUGGACUAUGUUGAGUCGGUCAGGCAGAGCCCUGUGCUGCCCAGCUGGAGAUCCUGGAGCCAUAGUGUCCCACGCAGGCGCAGAGCCUUCAGGGGCCCUGGGUGAGCGUGGCUGCAGUUGCUGGUAUUUGCCUUUGAGAACAGCCAGAGGCCCCAGUCACGUACAAGGGUCCCACUGUGCCAGAUGAUGCUGCACGGCACCAGAGGACAGCACAGUCCCUGCCCUGGAGAUCUCCAGUCACACUAACAGGACAAUUAAGAGAGGGCAGCAGGAUUCAAUGUACUAGCAAAGGGCUCAUGGCUGGUAGGUGAUCCCAGGGGGUUAUGCCCCCAUAUCAGGCAGCGUGGAAAGGGUUGGGGAAGAGGUGAUAAGCUGUGUCAACAGAAGCCAGAUCCCAGAAGAAGGCAGAAAGGAUAGAAGAGGAGGCAGAGCGUCUGUCCUGUUCCUCUGCAACCUCAGUUGUUUGCACCUCUGAACAUCCGUCCACACGUGGUCUGCAAAUCCCGGGGUAGAACAGCUAAGGAAUUCUGCUGGCUUGCAGCUCUCCGGACAAGGAGCUUUCCUAGUGCCAUUAAUGGACCUGCUGACCACAGAGUGGUCAGCUCUCCCAGAGACUGCCCCCUCCACGUACCCUCUGCCUCCCCCUGCCCCCAGGUGUCACACAGACCCUGGGUACCCAGACUCUCUAGAUUUGAUCUCCAGGAGUGGACGCUAGGAACAUCAAAGAUUCCCUUUGCAUAGUUUGACCCCCUGCUCUCCCAGGCACUUUCUGGUUUGCCCACAAAAACCCUUAAAUCCUUUGUUUUCAGCCUGCCUGGGAAGCAAAUCACCAACCACAUGGACAAGAGGCUGCAGAGCAUUCGAAUGACCUGAUGCUGCUACCGCCAUGCUUCGGCCCAAGCCACUUCUCCCUUCCACUGCGACUGAGAGGGCCAUCAUGGUUCACGGACGAACUCCAGCUCACAGCACAGGGCUUGAGCACUCGCCCUAAGUCCAGUCACCAACAGCAGAGACUUCUUACAGGCCACCUUCUGCUCUCCUGCCAUCACCCCCAAAGCUGUGCUUCAUACUGCACCUGCUUGUCACGCCCAAUUGCACUGUCCGGAUGUCGGCCCCAGACGCUCACCAUGGCCAAGAGCUCUCGUCAUAAUUGCAGGAAAGAUGAACCGAGUAUAAUGCACAGAAUGCACAGAAACAGUGAACCCGAUGCUGACUCAGACUGCAUCAGCCACCCACCUCUCCUGGCCAGGAAUGGCCCCUCUACACCCCUGAAGCCUGGAGAAAGCCCUGAGUAAUAGCUGAGCCACUGCCUCUUCCCCAAAGGUGCCUGUCCCUUGGGUAGUGUGAGGCCCUGCCCAGCUCCUUACUGAGCCUACACCGAACGGAGGCCUGAGCCAUGAAAAAUUCUGCUGUCUACCCUCUGUUCACUAGGAACGUUGCUCCUUCCUCCCAGCCUGUCCUGGCCACAGCAACCCAUGUGCUCAGCACCUCCAGGCUGGAUGGCAGAGACUCGCUCAUUUGAGCACCCAGGGUGGAUUACAUGCUGGAUUACUGGGGCGGAGUGCCUCCGGCAGGCCGGGCAACUUCAGUUUACCCAGAUUGCCUGGGCGCACUAGGGAUGGGCACAAUGGGAAGCCCUCAGACAGACACAGGGCAGACAAGAGGAGACAUCUGUGUAGAAGACCCAAGAGUCAGGGCUCCUACAAAGGUCUUCUGGAGAAGUUUCUACUUCAAAUGACUUUAAAGCUCCUUAUGCAAUAUCCUCAUGCUUUCCAUGGGCACAGGUAUAAUUAUUUCAUUAUGCUUUCCUGUGAAGUGUGAAAACUAUCGUUACCAAUCCUCUUAAAUUAGUUAAAUAUAAUAUUCAGUGAGACAGGAGAUAGAGAAAUGUUAAUUGAAACCGGAGAGGUGUUUAUAGGGUGAUACAGAGUGGCCAACUGUGACUAAAAUUAAUGUUCAGGGUCCUUGAUAGUGAUUCAUGUCCCAGGGUUUAUUAAAUAUUUUCAACAGCAGCCAAAGCCAGACUG